rnacentral:rRNA from 1 species
UACGUAGGGCGCGAGCGUUGUCCGGAUUUAUUGGGCGUAAAGAGCUCGUAGGCGGCUUGUUGCGUCAGCUGUGAAAACCCGCAGCUCAACUGUGGGCUUGCAGCUGAUACGGGCAGGCUUGAGUUCGGUAGGGGAGACUGGAAUUUCUGGUGUAGCGGUGAAAUGCGCAGAUAUCAGGAGGAACACCGGUGGCGAAGGCGGGUCUCUGGGCCGAUACUGACGCUGAGGAGCGAAAGCGUGGGGAGCGAACAGG